CGGCCGCUGAAAUAUUUGUUCACAGUGUCCUACUUACUACUUAAGUGAUAAAGAAAUGAUGUGUGCACGGCCUUGUCUUGUGUUUCAACACAUAACAAACAUACAUCUGUAUGACAGCUAUUUUAUUUAAACAAAGUUUUGAUGGAAAUGGUCCAAAUGAUAAGUCAUAUCUGAGACAUAUUUUGUAACAAUAAAGCCUUGAAAAUGUUAAGCACAUUUAUUUUAUGAUUUGCAGUAAAAUUAUAACUUUCUUAGAACAUAUUAAUCUGAUAACCAACAACAAAAAAUUAUAUUAGUACUGCGUCAUGACGAACACAACAUGAAUUAUAAUAUAAUAUGAAUUAAAUUAUAAAAGGUUACUUUAAGUAAUACAAAACCCAAAAAGAAUUUUCUGUUAAUAUAUUACGUCUAAUGUAUAUAGGGUAAAUAAGGUAUAGGAGUUCCCCACGGUCACUAAGCAUUAAGGAUAAUGGUAACGUGCAGCAUGCUCACAACUAUUGUUUUGCCACAUAUGUGUGUAGCUCACGUUGUUGUGUAGGUAACAUUAAUUGAAUGUUAAUUGAACCCAAUUUGUAAGCUAUCAACCAAUAUAAUUCAACUAACUACCUGCUCCCAACCAUGUCCCAAUAAGGCAAUUAGUACAUUUUAUUGGGCCAACCAAAAUUAUAUAAUAAAUAAAUCCAACCCAGAGUUAGUAAGAAAAACAUAGAGAAGUGAAUGUAACUACAUACUGUGCAAAGGAAGCUGGCAUUAUCCCCUCAUGUUAUACAGAAGAAAGGACAGAAGACUUGUCACCUGGAAACCACAAAACUUGAGAUCCAACAUGAUGGGGCACUACGCACCAGCACUACACUCUACACGCAGGCACGCAACACUCACAGCCUGUGAACUGAGCAUUACCAAUACUCAAACAUCAUUUUUUAUCAAUUGUAUGUAUUUGAUGGUACACUGAUCCUUUUGAAAAUGCACAAUAACUCUAAAGUUAAUUCUCAAUUCACAGUACACAUAAAUGUUUGAAAAGACAAUAUUUUAGCAUACUUUUGCUCACAAAAAAUUUUUUUUUUCUUUGUAAUAAGAAAACCCAUGUAAGUUUAAUAUAAUGCUAAUUUGUAGGGUCACUGGGUCAUCUUUAAUGACUACAUAGGAAAAGACAUUAGUAUAAUAAGGCCAGACUGUAUUUUAAAUUAAGAAAUGAUCAAAGCACAUAAUAAACUGAACAAGAGCAAAA